UGGGGAAUAUUGCACAAUGGGCGAAAGCCUGAUGCAGCGACGCCGCCUGAGGGAUGACGGCCUUCGGGUUGUAAACCUCUUUCAGUAGGGACGAAGCGCAAGUGACGGUACCUGCAGAAGAAGCACCGGCUAACUACGUGCCAGCAGCCGCGGUAAUACGUAGGGUGCGAGCGUUGUCCGGAAUUACUGGGCGUAAAGAGCUCGUAGGCGGUUUGUCACGUCGUCUGUGAAAUCCUAGGGCUUAACCCUGGACGUGCAGGCGAUACGGGCUGACUUGAGUACUACAGGGGAGACUGGAAUUUCUGGUGUAGCGGUGGAAUGCACAGAUAUCAGGAAGAACACCGAUGGCGAAGGCAGGUCUCUGGGUAGUAACUGACGCUGAGGAGCGAAAGCAUGGGUAGCGAACAGG
rnacentral:rRNA from 1 species